rnacentral:lncRNA from 10 species
UCACUCUAUUAAAUCCAGUAUUUUAUUCCAUUAAAUCUAAAAGCCGUUGAUGGGGAGAUACACCACAGCUGUACGCACGACUGAAAAAUGCUGCUGAAACAGUUAUGACCAUGCUUGAUUUGUACAUUUUAAAAAACUCUUUAAGACAUACACAAAUGUAGAUUCUAAUGUAACUCUGUUGGCAUGUAUCUGCAUACAUAUGUUCCAUAUGAGUGUAUGUGUGUGUAUAUAUAUAUAUAUCUUAUAAUACAUUGAUAAAGGAAUUCCUAAAACUUCACAGAAUCUGCCUUUUCUUACACAUUUUUAAAUCUCGGACUCACGAAUAUUCAUAAUUUUCCGCCUGUCAUUAUUUCCUGCCAUCAAGAGUAUUGAAAAUGCAGCGUUUGUACAAGCCUGCACGCCGGUAGUCAGUUCCAACCCCGACACUGGCUCUGCACGCUUAGUGCUGAUGUUCUCUGGAAUUCUUGAUUUUACCAGAAGGUGUCAAGAAAAGAUCCUCAGACAGCAUUCCUUCUUUCUCCCAGGGCCCUUGCAUGUUGUGGGGCCAGAAGCGUCCGGGCUGUACAAAUAGUACCACCAUCUUCCUGGAGUGACUGGGAGAGACACCUGGGAUCUUGCUGGGUCAAUAGUGACUGUGCAAGGCCAUCCAUGAUAAAAUGCGUUCCAACCUCAGACACCUUUCAUUGCGGUGUGGACCAGAGUCCGAGGAAGUGUGAGGCCCAGAGAGCGUGCGGGUGAGUGCGCCUGGACCCUCUGUCAGUCAAGAUGUCCUUGGCUUUUCUCCUUGCUGCCCUGUUCCUUGUACAGCCACACCUAUCUCCAAACCAGCUGCAUCGACACCUUUGUUAUUAUGAGGAUUUGAUUGUAAGUUUUCUAUCAGGCUAUAGAGAGCUUAAUUUAAUGCAAUGGAGAAAUCUCCAAAAAUAAAGCCCUUAAGUUUUUUUUUUUUCUUUGGCUUUGGACUUACAAAACCUCUCUCAUCUUGAUUGCCCUUUCUUGGCAUAAUAAAUCAGAUGUCCUCUUGUCCAAAAGGUGCAGUCAUGGAAUUGGCUACCCUAGAUCUUAGCAUGCUCUCAUGGAAUCAGCUGCCAUAGAUCUUAGCAUUCUCUCCUGAAAUUGGCUAUGCUAGAUCUUAGCAUCCUUUAAGUCUCAAUUUGAUUUUCUUCCUCAGCUCCUCCAGGCAGGUGUGCGGGCUCAGCCACUGCACUUUCAGUCCCCUGCAUGCAUUUUCAAGGUGAAGUAUUUGGUGGGGUUUUAGGAAUUCUACUCUGACUGCAGACAGUAGUGUGGCCCAUUUUGCUACAGGGCGCUAAUAGACCUUUGUGAUCUUUCCAUGGUUUAGCCACCUAGGAUGUGCAGCUUUUACUGUGAUCAAUGGCCUCUGAGGGUAUGGAGUGGAGGUCAGAAGAAAAUGCAAAGCAACUGGACGUUCCAGAUGAGGAGCUGUUUCAAAAUGAGGAGCCAUUUCAGACAGAAUGAGCUGUUCCAGAAUGGGGAGCCAUUCCAGAAUGAGGAGAUGUUCCAGAGUGUGUAGCCAUUUCAGAAUGAGGAGCUGUUCCAGGAUGAGGAGCUGUUUCAGAAUGAGGAACCAUUCCAGAAUGGGGAGCUGUUCCAGAAUGGGGAGCCCUUCCAGAAUGGGGAGCCAUUCCAGAAUGAGAAGCUGUUACAGAAUGAGGAGCUGUUCCAGAAUGAGAAGCCGUUCAAGCAUGGGGAACUUUUCCAGAAUGAGAAGCUGUUCCAGAAUGAGGAGCUGUUCCAGAGUGGGAAGCUGUUCCAGAAUGGGGAGCUGUUCCAGAGUGGGAAGCCAUUCCAGAAUGGGGAAUCAUUUCAGAAUGAGAAGCCAUUCCAGGAUGAGGAGCUGUUCCAGAAUGGGGAGCUGUUCCAGACUGAUGAGCUGCACCUUGUACCUGCCUCACACCUGAUCACAUAGCCUUGAUGCCAGAAACCUAGAGUGCUCUAUUUAGGAACGUUAGGCUGGCAGCAGGAACCCCUGAAGAAACUCAGGACACUAGGUGCUUGAGCGCGCAGCUAACCCGCAGGAGAAACAUCUCCCU